CCUACGGGAGGCAGCAGUGAGGAAUAUUGGUCAAUGGGCUUACGCCUGAACCAGCCAAGUCGCGUGAGGGAAGACUGCCCUAUGGGUUGUAAACCUCUUUUGUCAGGGAGCAACGCCGGCUACGUGUAGCCGGACUGAGAGUACCUGACGAAAAAGCAUCGGCUAACUCCGUGCCAGCAGCCGCGGUAAUACGAAGGAGGCGAGCGUUAUCCGGAGUUAUUGGGUUUAAAGGGUGCGUAGGCGGAAUGCCAAGUCAGCGGUAAAAUCGCGGGGCUCAACCUCGCUCCGCCGUUGAACCUGGCGUUCUUGAGUGGGCGAGAAGUAUGCGGAAUGCGUGGUGUAGCGGUGAAAUGCAUAGAUAUCACGAAGAACUCCGAUUGCGAAGGCAGCAUACCGGCGCCCAACUGACGCUGAAGCACGAAAGCGUGGGUAUCGAACAGGAUUAGAUACCCGUGUAGUC
rnacentral:rRNA from 1 species